UUGUGUUUCCUCCCAACAGGCAGCCAGGGUUUUAAGGAAAAGUGCCAGGUUGUCCCAGACUUUACAGGAUUACACAGGAUCCCAGGAUUACAUCUGAGAUCGUCAGAUAAAUGUAAAUGAAUGAAACAUCUGAAUUUAGAAGAAAUUGAGUGGGACGUGGGUAAAAAAACUCUGUAGGCUGCAUUAAAAAGCUGAAUCUGCAGCUCAAAUUCUUGGGUAUUCUCUCCUAGGUACACUGGUAAAUAUCUUGAGCAGCCCUGCCUGCAUCAAAGAUUUGUUUGGCUGUGCUCAGCUGUGGACUGAAAGGAGACAGCACAUCGGUUCCCAGUAAAGGCUUGCACAGGUGUGUGUCCUCCAGGAUGUGCUCUGAGGAGUUCAGCAAAAGAGAGGAGGGAGCUUGGCCUGACCAGGGACAUCGUACUUGUGCUGCUGCCUUCUGAU
rnacentral:lncRNA from 1 species